rnacentral:lncRNA from 1 species
UUUGGUUCACUAUUUGAUGGAUCUAUUACGGUCCGUCCGAUCAAAAUAUUAGACAACUACUGUGCAGCUAAUAAAGACACAACGGCUAAUUUUUAUUGUACAAAAUUAGUACAUUAGGUGUAUAGAAUUAUUUGUCUGAUAGCAUAAAUCAAAUACCUCUUAGACACCUGUACAUAGGAUUAUUCUUAUCCUUUUACACUAUACUUGUAUAAAUAGACUGUCAUCAAUCAAUGAAAAUACACAGAAAAAUUCUCAAUCAUUUUUUCUCCUAACUUUUCUACAUGGUAUCAAAGCAACAGCUCUAAGAAUAUCCUAAUCUUUUUCUUUUUCAGUUUCUCUUUGCUUUCAUUCUCCAAUGAUGUCCACAUCUGAGGUCGCUGAUGUCACUUCUGGAAAUACUGUCACCUCUGGAAAUAAUGGGAAUAGCAUGAAAUACCCAAGUUAUCCUUACUUCCUUAACCCGUCUGAUUCACCUAGAAUGAACUUGGUAAACUCAUCUUUUGAUGGAAGAGGUUAUGGAGGAUGGCGCAGGUCCAUUCUCAUAGCUCUUUCUACAAAAAAUAAGAUUGGCUUUAUUGGUGGAGCUUGCCUUUCUCCUAGGCCAGAAACACAUGACUUCAAGUUGUCAAGCAUGUGUAAUGAUAUGGUGAUUUUUUGGCUACUUAAUUCUCUGUCAAGAGAGAUUGCUGACAGUGUGAUUUACUCUAAGACAUCCAAGGACCUGUGGGAUGAUUUAGAGGACAGAUUUGGUCAGUCAAAUAGUGCAAAAAUAUAUCAUUUAUAGAAAGAAUUGAGUGACCUGAUUCAGGGUACUAGUGAUAUAGCAUGGUAUUUUACUAAGAUAAAAAGGUUAUGGGAUGAACUAGAUACCUUGAACACUCAUAUCAACUAUUUUUGUGCCUGUAAUUGUGGAGGAAAAGCCAAAAUGGCUAAGUCACUUCAAGAUGAGAGGCUUAUCAAAUUUCUCAUGGGGUUGAAUGAUACUUAUGCCUCUAUGAGAAGCAGCAUCUUGAUGUUAUCCCCUUUGCCAACUAUAGGACAUGCUUACUCCUUGUUGAUAUAGGAUGAGAAGCAGAGAGAAGUUUAUGUCAACUCCCAAUUCCUUGGUGAUUCUACAUCCUUCCUGGCUGCAAAUCAAAACCCUCCAAGUCAGAAAGUUGGAAAUUCUGAUUUCAAGGGAAAAAGGAACAAUCUCAAUUGCUCUUAUUUCAAAAAAACUGGGCAUUCAGUGGAUAAAUGCUAUAGGAUCAUUGGUUUUCCGGCAGACUUCAAAUUCACCAAGUCAAAUGCAACAACGGUUGAAGAAAAUAUUAUGAACCAUCAGCUCUCACAGGAACAGUUCACUCAACUUAUUCAGCUUCUUCAACAAGUGAAAGUUGGACAACCAGGGACUUCAGGUUCAGAAAUCAAUGUUAAUGCUAUCAACUGUGCUGGUAAAAUACUCAAAAAAUCAGUAUCUCGUUUCACUUACAUUAAAGGUAGCUCCUGGAUCUUAGAUUCAGGAGCAUCUGAACACAUGUCUUUUGAUUCUACCAUUUUCUUAAACCUGAAACCUUUGCCUUAUCAUGUUAAUAUCAGUCUUCCUAAUUUAUAUAAAGUAAAUAUAUAUCUUGGUGGAGAUAUAUCCAUUCAUCCUAAAAUCAUUCUAAGAAAUGUUCUUUAUGUGCCUUGUUUCAAAUUCAAUUUGAUAUUUAUUCAAAGAUUGUGUCAGCAAAAUAAUUGUCUCCUAAUUUUUUCUGCGAUUGGAUGUCUGUUGCAAGAAAAUUCAGUAAAGAGGCCUCUGGCACUUGGUGAAGCUAGAGAUGGUCUAUAUCUGCUCCAUUCCACAAAUCUUCAACCUAAGAAGCUAUCUAAAGAUGUUUAUGUUUCAUUACCUAAGGAGAGUCUUUCCAGUUUUGUUGAGUCUUUUAAAUCAGUUUCUAUUCCUAUAAAAGCUAAUUCCUAUGUAAAGUUGUGGCACUUUAGAUUGGGACAUUUGCCAUUUCAUGCAAUGAAAAACAUCAAAUCUGUUUCUAUUUUAUCUUUGUAUCCAAUUCUGAUUUUUCAUGUGAUGUUUGUCCACUAGCAAGGCAAACCAGAUUGCCUUUUCAUUCAAGCAAGAUAAGUACCAACAAGGUUUUUGAUCUAAUUCACAUUGACACCCGGGGGCCCUACAAAACACCCACAUACAAUGGAUAUAGAUAUUUUCUCACUAUAGUAGAUGACUUUAGUAGGGCAACCUGGACCUAUCUUUUAAGCACCAAAAGUAAUGCUUUUUCAAUUCUCAAAAAUUUCUUAGCUAUGAUAGAAAGGCAAUUUAACACCAAAGUCAAGGUAAUAAGAUUAGAUAAUGCACUAGAACUGGGAGGGGGUACAAUAAUCUCUGAAUUUUUUCUUUCUCAGGGAAUCAUUCAUCAAACUUCAUGUAUUGCAACCCCUUAACAGAAUGGUGUUGUUGAGAGGAAGCAUAGACAUCUUCUGGAGACAUCAAGGGCUCUAUUGCACCAUUCUAAGGUCCCUAUAUCAUUUUGGGGAGAAUAUUUAUUAACUGCUACUUUCUUGAUCAAUAGAUUUUCAUCUAGAGUUCUUAAAUAAAAAAUACCUUAUGAGAUUAUUUUUGAAAAAUGUCCCAAUUAUGAUUUUCUCAAAUGUUUUGGUUGUUUAUGUUAUGCUACCACGCCUUCACAUAACAGAGGAAAGCUAUAGCCUAGAGCCAUUCCUUGUGUGUUCUUAGGAUACCCCUAUGGAAUGAAGGUGUACAAAUUGAUGAGUUUAAAUACCAGAAAGAUUUUUGUUUCCAGAGAUGUACGAUUCUUUGAAUCAGUUUAUCCUUUUUGUUCUAUUCCAGGCUCGCCAAUCAAAUCUAUAGAGUCUAAUGCUUUCACUGAUUCUUUUAGUUCUGAUCCUAACAUCACAAAUGACUUUAGCAUCACAACUGAUCCUAAUACUUCUCCCUUUGCACCUUCUGAUUCUAUUCUUGAGUCUGUUCCUAGUUCAAACUUAUCUCCAGAUUUAACUUAUUUCACUUCAGAUUUCAAUCCUAUUUCUCACAGUCCCAGUCAUGUCCCUCAUAUUUCUAGUCCUACUUCUCAUAAUUCAACCCCAAUCCCUUUAAUAAGAUCAGAAACAGAACAUAAUAAGUCUGCUUAUUUGAAUGACUAUGUUUGCAAUGUUGUAUUUCUAACUGAUGUUACCAAUUCUUGUUUUAAUCAACGGUUGUUCCUCUAACAUAUCCUUUUACUGCUUUAUUCACCUCUAAUCAACAUCUACUUAAUUCUCUUUCUAAUAUUGUUGAUCUAACUAGUUAUUCUCAAGCUGCCAUGCACUCAGGUUGGGAGCAAGCAAUGGACACUGAGUUUAAAGCCCUAGAAGCUAAUCAAACUUAGGAAAUUGUUGAGCUUCCGGAGGGUAAGAAAGCCUUGCCUUGCAAAUGGGUAUAUAAGGUAAAACAUAAUUCAGAUGGCAGUAUUGAGAGGUUGAAAGCUAGAUUGAUGAUUAGAGGUAAUAUUCAAAGAGAGGGAAUUGAUUUCAAUAAAACUUUUUCACCCGUAGUCAAAAUGACUACAAUUCGAUGUCUCUUAGCUAUAGCAGUUAAAAAAAAGUGUCAGAUUUCACAAUUGGAUGUGAAUAAUACUUUUUUACAUGGAGACUUACAAGAAGAAGUCUAUAUGAAAUUUCCACCAGGCAUAUCAGCACCAAAUACUAAUCAAGUUUGCAAGCUAAGGAAAUCUUUAUAUGGUUUGAGGCAAGCCUCUCGUCAAUGGUACUCAAAACUUCAAGCAGCUCUAAACUUUAAGGGGUUCAGUUCAUCUUUAAAUGAUUAUUCCCUAUUCUUUAAGAAAUCUGGAAACUCGAUGUCUAUCGUUGCAGUCUAUGUUGACGAUAUUUUGCUUACAGAAAAUGAUCAUGAGGAACUGUCAUAUUUAAAGACCUUUCUUGAUUCAGAAUUCAAGAUAAAGGACCUUGGAGAUCUACACUAUUUCCUUGGUUUGGAAAUUCUUAGAGAAAAAUAUGGAAUGAUAGUGAGUCAGAGAAAACACCUUGGAGUUAUUAGAAGAGUUCAACUGCGAGCAUCUACCACUGGUGACUUCUCCUCUGGAUCCCUCAUGCAAGCUCAGUAUUACUUCUGGUGAAUUACUAUCCGAUGCAACCAUAUAUCGGAGACUCCUUGGCAAAUUGAACUAUUUAACUUAUACUAGGCCGGAUCUUUCAUUCGCGGUCUAACAUCUUAGUCAAUUUAUGCAAGAUCCUCGCUUGCCUCAUUUUAAUGUGGCACUUCGGGUAAUUAGAUAUAUGCGCUCAAAUCCUGGACAAGGAAUCUUCAUGAUAGCUGAACCUUCUCUCACCUUACUCGCAUUUUGCAAUGCCGGCUGGGGCGCUUGUCUUGACUCCCGCCGUUCAAUCAGUGGCUAUUUUGUCAGUUUAUGAGGCUCUCCUAUCUCGUGGAAAUAAAAAAUACAGGUCUCAGUGUCACUCUCUUCCGCUGAAGCAGAAUAUCGAUCCAUGAGAAGAGUCGUCGCUGAAAUCACCUGGUUGACUCGAUUACUCACAGAUCUAGGAUCAUCUCCCUCUCUUUCGGUACCGAUUCACUCCGAUAGCCAGGCCGCAAUCCACAUAGCUCGGAACCCAGUUUUUCAUGAGAGGACCAAACAUGUGGAACUUGACUGCCACUUUGUUCGGCAAUAAUUCCUCUCUGGUUUAAUCUCUUUCCUUUGUGCCGUCUUCGUCUCAACUUGCUGAUUUAUUCACAAAACCCUUGUCUCGGCCAUCACAUCUCUCAAUUCUCGGCAAGUUGGGGGUUGCUUCUCUACCCUCCAACUUGAGGAGAAUGUUGAAGAUAAAAAUCCAAUGAUCAAUUUUGAUUCUCAACUCACAGUCUCUCGCAACAAACUAAGUAAGGAAGAAGAAGCUAGAAGGAAUAAGGCGAAGGUUGUGGUCGAUAAGAACAAAAAUACAAUUGGUAAAGUACCAAGAACUAAAGACUUAGAUCUUGUAUCAAACCAAAAUAUCAAAGGGACACGUGGAGCAAUCUCAGCUUUUGGUUCACUAUUUGAUGGAUCUAUUACGGUUCGUCCGAUCAAAAUGUUAGACAGCUACUGUGCAGCUACUAAAGACACAACGGCUAAUUUUCAUUGUACAAAAUUAGUAUAUUAGAUGUAUAGAAUUAUUUGUCUGAUAGCAUAGCUCAAAUACUUCUUAGAUACUUAUACAUAGGAUUAUUCUUAUCCCUUUACACUACACUUGUAUAAAUAGAUUGUCAUCGAUCAAUGGAAAUACACGAAAAAUUCUCAAUUAUUUUUUCUCCUAACUUUUCUACACGCGGCAAACUCAAAAUAACCCACUUACAAUUUUAAUACGCGAUUUCUUAACCCCACCCGUUAAUUUAAUCCAUAACCGACCCCUCAAAUCUCUUUAUUUUGAUUUUCUUUCUUUUUUCCUUUACAC